UCUUCAUCUCCAAGAUCUUCUGGUUUUCAGUGCAAAAACUGACUUUCAUAAUCACUUCCUUUAUAAAGCAGGACACAUUAUAUUGCAGGACAAGGCCAGCUGCCUUCCUGCUUUCCUCCUAAACCCCCAAGUUGGCAGCCAUGUCAUUGAUGCUUGUGCAGCUCCAGGGAACAAAACCAGCCAUCUAGCUGCCAUAAUAAAAAAUAAAGGGUAUUUGAAUUCAUAUCUAAUAUUGAAGAA